rnacentral:tRNA from 1 species
GUGGCUGUGGCUCAGAGGUAGAGCGCUCAUUCACAUGUGGGGGGCCCUGGGUUUGAUCCUCAGCACCACA